rfam:Myotis lucifugus cont2.10532, whole genome shotgun sequence.
GGCAGUUCUUGGGUGACACACCAUGGAAUCGGGCUCCCUCCUCUCUGGUUCCAGGUGGCACCCAAGAACCACA